rnacentral:rRNA from 1 species
GGAUAACCUGCCCUUGGGUCCGGCAUAACCCCGGGAAACUGGGGAUAAUUCCGGAUAACGCAUAUGUGCUGGAAUGCUUUAUGCGUAAAAUGGAUUCGUCUGCCCAAGGAUGGGUCUGCGGCCUAUCAGGUAGUAGUGGGUGUAAUGUACCUACUAGCCAACAACGGGUACGGGUUGUGAGAGCAAGAGCCCGGAGAUGGAUUCUGAGACAUGAAUCCAGGCCCUACGGGGCGCAGCAGGCGCGAAAACUUUACAAUGCGGGAAACCGUGAUAAGGGGACACCGAGUGCCAGCAUCAUAUGCUGGCUGUCCAGGUGUGUAAAAUACACCUGUCAGCAAGGGCCGGGCAAGACCGGUGCCAGCCGCCGCGGUAACACCGGCGGCCCGAGUGGUGAUCGUGAUUAUUGGGUCUAAAGGGUCCGUAGCCGGUUUGGUCAGUCCUCCGGGAAAUCUGACGGCUCAACCGUUAGGCUUUCGGGGGAUACUGCCAGGACUUGGAACCGGGAGAGGUAAGAGGUACUACAGGGGUAGGAGUGAAAUCUUGUAAUCCCUGUGGGACCACCUGUGGCGAAGGCGUCUUACCAGAACGGGUUCGACGGUGAGGGACGAAAGCUGGGGGCACGAACCGGAUUAGAUACCCGGGUAGUCCCAGCCGUAAACGAUGCUCGCUAGGUGUCANGCAUGGCGCGACCGUGUCUGGUGCCGCAGGGGAAGCCGUGAAGCGAGCCACCUGGGGAAGUACNGCCGCAAGGCUGAAACUUAA